GUUUUAGUCACUGUACAAGCGUUAUUGAGGCCCUGCCAGGUACUUGGUGUUAGCGCUUGGAAGAUGCCAAGGUGAUGCAGAAAGCCUGGUCAUCUAAGAGUUAAACUGAAGGCCUAAUUCAUGGGCUCUGUAGUCAGGGCUAGACUGGUUUAAAUUUCAUCACUUGAAUCCUGUAUUUUGGUUAUCAGGCAGGUGAAUACUCUGUGUUCGCAGGAGAGGACACACCCCGGUAGGAGGCCAGCCAGAGGGGUUCAGCAGCACACCCCCAGCGGCUGGAGGGGACCCAAGCGGCAUCCAUUUUGGGAACAGGGGCAGGCUCCUCUGAGGCCCUCAGAACAUCGACUGACCCGGGGAAAUGAGAAGAGUCACCUGGUGUUCGCCACGAGUCACCAGGAUGUGACGAAGUUACAGAAAGCCUAUCUGAUUUUAUUGUGGAAGACUUCAUUUAGCAGAGAUUUUCACUUUAGAGAAACUUAAAAAACAUCCCCCCCUGUGUUGAAUGAGAGACCUCUACACUGAGGAGGGGAUAUGAAUAUGCGCGUAAGCAACAGAAAUGCUGGUUUGGAAGCCAAGAAUUUUGCUUGUUAUCUGGUAUGUGAACUUGAACCACCAAAUGAUAGAAUGUUUUAAAGUAGAUUCUUUCUUAAAGAGAGAAAUCAUCUCCUAAGAAAAUCUCUGCCAGGGAGGACACUAUUUUAACCGUCUUCGUAUCACCAACCUGCCCAGCUCAGAGCUUAGAAUAUAAAACACGCUCAAAACAUAUUUUUUGUGUGGGAAUUUUGAUCGUGGUACUCAAACCUGCACGUGCCAUUUCUUUACCUACAAUGGGCAAUAGUGGCUUUGUUCAAAUGACAUUUUCCCUGCUCUCGGUGGUAAUUAAUGCUCAGUUCAGACUGCGCUGUUUGGAUGAAGAAAUCUGAACAAUAGCUAGACAAGACAAAGCCUGUUAAAUCUUAGGCAGGUUUCUCCGUCUACUAAUGCGGUUUAGAAUUAUACAUCAGGAGCAUUGUAUACCAGAAGAGUAUUGAUUGCAUUUCAGAUAAUGCAAUUUACAGUUAAUAUGAUGGUUAGGCUGGUCCAGGGAAAUAUUUGUUUUGUUCAAUAAUGUUAGACAGAAAACAUACAUUUUAAUAAAUACUGCAUGAGAACAAUCCUUUAGGGUGAA
rnacentral:lncRNA from 1 species